CUACUCGAGUUGUAUGCAUUUUGUCGCUCAAUUUGGAAAAGUAAGUUAAUAACUGAUAUGGGUUCUACUUAAUUGCUUUGGAUUGUUGCUGAAUUUGCUUAAUGUCCGGUAUUUUUUUUAUUGUUUCUUGUUCUUUAUGGAAAACUUCCCUUGUGUAUAUGCAUUUCGUUGCUAAAUUUGGAAAAAUAAGUCAAGAACUGGGUCUGCUUAGUUACUUUGGGUGGUUGUUGAAUUUGCUUCAUAUUUGGUAUUUAUGUUGAUUGUUUCUUGUUAUAAAUGGCAAUAUUCCUUGAGGUUGUUUCUCCGAUCAAAUUUUGGACACAAUCCUUCUUUUCUUUUUUUUUUUAUUCAUUUUUCUCUUUGCUUUGUCUUUUUGUUAUUUAUUUUUUUGUUAACAAAGAAGCUGAGCAACUAGAUAUGGACCAUAUGGUUCGAUGGAAGUAGGUCAACAGUCAACAUUUAUUUUGUUUGAUUUCCUUGUAUAGCUUUUUGAGUUUUAUUUACGCAUUUCAUGGUACCUGCUUAGAUAAUUAGACUUUUGUUGAAAUUGCAUUAUGUUUGGUAUUUCAUUUUGAUUAUUUCUUGUUCUUU
rnacentral:lncRNA from 1 species